GAUGAAUGCUGGCGGCGUGCCUAAUACAUGCAAGUCGAGCGAACAGAUGAGGAGCUUGCUCCUCUGACGUUAGCGGCGGACGGGUGAGUAACACGUGGAUAACCUACCUAUAAGACUGGGAUAACUUCGGGAAACCGGAGCUAAUACCGGAUAAUAUAUUGAACCGCAUGGUUCAAUAGUGAAAGACGGUUUUGCUGUCACUUAUAGAUGGAUCCGCGCCGCAUUAGCUAGUUGGUAAGGUAACGGCUUACCAAGGCAACGAUGCGUAGCCGACCUGAGAGGGCGAUCGGCCACACUGGAACUGAGACACGGUCCAGACUCCUACGGGAGGCAGCAGUAGGGAAUCUUCCGCAAUGGGCGAAAGCCUGACGGAGCAACGCCGCGUGAGUGAUGAAGGUCUUCGGAUCGUAAAACUCUGUUAUUAGGGAAGAACAAAUGUGUAAGUAACUAUGCACGUCUUGACGGUACCUAAUCAGAAAGCCACGGCUAACUACGUG
rnacentral:rRNA from 1 species